CUUGAACGCUGGCGGCAGGCCUAACACAUGCCAGUCGAGCGAGCGGCGGACGGGUGAGUAAUGUAUGGGGACUGCCCGAUAGAGGGGGAUAACUACUGGAAACGGUAGCUAAUACCGCAUACUAUCGGAUAACCCAUAUGGGAUUGGCUAGUAGGUGAGGUAAUGGCUCACAUAGGCGACGAGCCCUAGCUGGGCUGAGAGGAUGAUCAGCCACACUGGGACUGAGACACGGCCCAGACUCCUACGGAGGCAGCAGUGGGGAAUAUUGCACAAUGGGCGCAAGCCUGAGGCAGCCAUGCCGCGUGUAUGAAGAAGGUCCUAGGGUUGUAAAGUACGUUCAGUCGGGAGGCGUUACCGACAGAAGAAGCACCGGCUAACUCCGUGCCAGCAGCCGCGGUAAUUC
rnacentral:rRNA from 1 species